rnacentral:tRNA from 1 species
GGAGAUGUAGCUCAGUCAGUAGAGUGCUUGCCUAGCAAGGAUGAGGACCUGGGUUCAAUACCCAGAACCCCA